rnacentral:rRNA from 1 species
UUGAACGCUGGCGGCAGGCCUAACACAUGCAAGUCGAACGGUAACAGGAAGAAGCUUGCUUCUUUGCUGACGCGUGGCGGACGGGUGAGUAAUGUCUGGGAAACUGCCUGAUGGAGGGGGAUAACUACUGGAAACGGUAGCUAAUACCGCAUAAUGUCGCAAGACCAAAGAGGGGGACCUUCGGGCCUCUUGCCAUCGGAUGUGCCCAGAUGGGAUUAGCUAGUAGGUGGGGUAACGGCUCACCUAGGCGACGAUCCCUAGCUGGUCUGAGAGGAUGACCAGCCACACUGGAACUGAGACACGGUCCAGACUCCUACGGGAGGCAGCAGUGGGGAAUAUUGCACAAUGGGCGCAAGCCUGAUGCAGCUAUGCCGCGUGUAUGAAGAAGGCCUUCGGGUUGUAAAGUACUUUCAGCGGGGAGGAAGGGAGUAAAGUUAAUACCUUUGCUCAUUGACGUUACCCGCAGAAGAAGCACCGGCUAACUCCGUG